ACCGACACAGGUGGGUGAGGAGAGUAUCCUAAGGCCAGCGAGAGAACUGUUGUUAAGGAACUCGGCAAAAUGACCCCGUAACUUAGGGAUAAGGGGUGCCACCAUCCGGUGGCCGCAGAGAAUAGGCUCAAGCGACUGUUUACCAAAAACAUAGGUUUCUGCUAAGUCGCAAGACGAUGUAUAGGAGCUGACGCCUGCCCGGUGCUGGAAGGUUAAGGGGAUCUGUUAGAGCAA
rnacentral:rRNA from 1 species